UAGGGCCCUGAGACUUCCCUGUCUGCACAGGGUAACAUCGGUGCAGACUGUGUCGGUGGUAUGAACUCCAACGACAGCCACGAAGUCUCCCAGCUGAACG
rfam:Methanohalophilus mahii DSM 5219, complete genome.